AAUUAUGUAAACUACAAAAAUACAAGGAAACCCCACAAGAUACCCAUUCAACAGGUAACGUGCACCUGCUGCAAAAUGCUCUCCAGCUCCUUGGUAGGCGACAGGAUGACGAGUACUAUAGUGGUUUCGGCUUGAACUACAGAAAUUAGGGUUUUAAUUUCUAAUAAGCCCCUUCACAAAUGCCAGAAGUCAUUGUUGGCUGGGCCAAAGCGCGACGGGGGAAAAAAUAUCCACCUACGAUAUUAGACUGCUUAAAAUGACAUCCCGUCUAAUUCUUCUCCAUCAACACUGGCCGGCCUGACCGUGUCUUCAGUCUCCAUCAGAGACCUGCUGCGUGUGGACACGCAUAGCAGUUUUCCCAACAGAGACGCAUCGAAUGCCCUUUUCCGGAAACAACACUUCCAGAAAUGUGCUGACCAAGAAGAAACAGCAGGGGUGAGAGAGGUGGCCAAAGCACUCACAACAUCUUAACAAGCACUAAUUAAAUGUCUUUCUUUAAAAAUAUGGCUUAAGAAAGCCAAAUACAAUAACUUCUUACAGAUGGUUUUAGGAACUAAC
rnacentral:lncRNA from 1 species